AAAUUAGUCAUUUUGUAAUAAGGGUCUGUUUGUUUGAAAGUAAAACAUUUUCCGGAAAAGCUUUUCAGGCUUUUCUAGUGUUUGUUUGGCUGAAAUUAUUUUCAUCAGGUAAAAUCAAUUACAAAACACAGAAAAAGAAGCCCUUAAUUUUGGAAAAUAUCUUACGGAUUUCAUUUUUGCAAGACAUUUUUCGGUUCCUCCUUCAUCCAGAGAAAUGCUAUAAUGAAUUUGGUUUUGUCAUGCAACAACUAGCUUGUGUAAGUAGUUCAAGUAGGCCAUGUUUAAGUUCGAACCAGCGACUUCCUAGAGUUUUGCUACUAGUAAGAGGCGCGUCCAUUUCUUUAAAUAGAUGGACUGUAGUCAAGAUCAAAAUGCAAUUGUCGGAGUCGUGGCUUCAGUUUUAGCUUUUGGGGCUCUUUGGAUUAAAAAAUUAAAAACUACGAAGGAAAUUGUUUCUCACCCUCGUGUGAAUCGAGAUUAUGAAAGAGAAAAUUAUAUUAAUAGUAUUUUAUAUGGUGGUGAUCAACAUUGUAUUGAUGUGAGAAGGAUGAGACCGAUUGCCUUUUUUAAUUUGUGUGAUAUUCCUUUCCUAGUAGGAAUAAUUUGCUACAAUCAACUAAAUCUGUGAAUAUUAAGGAGCAAGUAGUUAUAUUUUUACAUAUAA